GUGUCAUCCCCGGGGAGCCAUGAUGGCUGAGAGGGUGGUUAAAGUCCGCCGACCCGUUGAACCUGAACCGAUUAGCAUCGGCGGAGGGAGUGGGCGCGUUUAUGGC
rnacentral:ncRNA from 2 species